CAGGCCGCUCUAUGCAGUGCAUUGCCUCUGUUAUCCAGACCCUAAGAUUACAGUAGCAACAGGUCAUGGGACCAGGAAGGUUUUUUAAAUCUGAGGGAAUUUUGAUGCUUUGACACAGAUGACAAGAACUAUGACCUGGGGAAACUAAGUUCUCCUCCAGGCUGUUUUAUCAUAGUUCUACUUUUGCCACUGCUGGGCUUUUACUAGGUCCCCAAGGAUUGGCAUAUCCCGACCCAAUACAACCUGGUAUGGAAGUUUAUCCAUCACUCCAACUGUAAGCAAAUGCUGCUGUUCAUGUACUUGAAGUACAACAUCAUCACCAUGAACACACCAGACUUUAACACAUAACGUGGUGUCUCUGGGAAGACAAUCUUGCCUUAUAAGAGUACAGCUACUACCUGAAUCUAAUAGAGCGACACAAGCCUUUCCCUGAAAAAAAAACACAGAUUGUGUGCUCCUGCGCACUUGAGGGUACUACAGACUCACGUUCUUCCUCUAACUAAUCAAAACACUCUGGUGAAAAACACUACAAAAAACAGCAAGUCUUACUGACUUGCUGACUUGGGCAAUUAGCCUUAAAAUGACCAGUGAGGCCACAAGAGUGACAAACCAACUGACCUUUCCGUUUAAAUUCCCUAACACAGUUAUUGCUACUGAUUGGGGAAUUUUCUUUGGAAUACUUUGGUCUGUGUCUUUUCCUUUGGAACCAUCCACUUUUCAUACAGGUCUUUAAGGCGUGUUCGCAGCUCCUUGGGUGUCUCAUCUUCCUUCACUGUUGUGGCCCGGAACCUCGAUCUCAUUGAGAAGCCUUCCAGGAUCAGCUACUGCACCUUCCAGCUGCAUCUGAUGCUCUUGGCGUUCCAUGUGGACCUCCUGCUGAAGUAGACCGAAGUGGUGUUGCAUUUUCCUACAUAAACCCUACUUCAAAGUCGGUGUUGUCAUCCAAUGGAAUCCUUUCCUAUUUGCUGGUCGGAUUGAGUUUCAAGGGGCUCUACCAUGGAUGGCUGUAAGGAUCCAUGUCGCCUUUGUUUGGGGGCGACCUGCUGCAUGAGGAUGUUUGUUCCAGGGACCUCAACAGAACAUUUUUGGCUUUUUUUCUUUUUCACAAUGUUUUCCUGCAAAUAAAUUAAUGAAAAAUAGCUUAAUGUGUAUUCGGGUUAUUAAUUGUUACAUUGUCAACGUGGUUCAUAUUUAUAAUGUAAUGAAACUUUUUAAAUGAUUUUCUUCCUAGUUUGAAAGAUCACACCAACAUAAAAGUCUUUUUUAAGUUGUCAUUCAUGGAUUUUGGUUAUCUCUUGUGGGGAGUUACCAUCUGAUCUCACA